AGAGUUUGAUCCUGGCUCAGAACGAACGCUGGCGGCGUGCUUAAGACAUGCAAGUCGAGCGAGAAAGGGGCUUCGGCCCUGAGUACAGCGGCGCACGGGUGCGUAACACGUGGGUAAUCUGCCUUCGGGUUCGGGAUAACGCGGGGAAACCUGCGCUAAUACCGGGCAAGACCACGAGGUCCUCGGACUUCGCGGUAAAA
rnacentral:rRNA from 1 species